ensembl:lncRNA
CUUUCUAAUAAAAAAAUUUUUUUUUUCUUUGAAGAACUGAUUUCAUUGAGAGCCACGUCAUGGUUGUGUAUGACCUCAGGGGGAGGGGGAGGGGCAGGAUGGGCAUGGCCAGCUUGACGGCACUCGUGUCAGGGGCACCUGGUGGCCCAGGCAGGGCUGCGGGACACAACGGCCUCCUGCAGCCCUCUGCCAGGGAAAAUGGUGAGCCUUGGUGGCUGAGGCUGUUAAUUGCCUGCACUUAAGUUCCAGCUGCCUACAACUGCUGUAGGCUCGAAUCCCACCAGGCUCAAGGUGGACUCAGCCUUCCAUCCUCUUGGGGCAGGUAAAUUGAGGACCCAAGAUUGUUGGGGGCAAUAAGCUGACUUUGUAAAAAUGCCGCUUAGUAAUAAGCAGGCAUAUACAAUGGAAGGAAGGCUAUUGCUGAGCACACUGGGUUGCAUCCCAAAAAUUGUAAGCCGCCCUGAGUCUUCGGAGAAGGGUGGCAUAUAAAUGUAAUUUUUUUAAAAAAUGAAGCUCGAGGCCCCCUGUAUGCGUCUGUCCCACCCGGGACCCCAUUUUCAUUGGCAGAGCUACUGUAGACCAGUCCUACGCUGUUUCCAAGCGGCCCGUGGGCUAAAUCUAAGCACCCCGCCAACCGGAUCCAGCCCAUGAGCUUGACGCCCCUGGUCUAGAAACUUGUCAUUAAAAGGAACUAGGGAAGCAGAAAAACCACAGCUUUUAACAGCUCAGCUUGUUUGAAGCCUAAAAUUUACAAACCCGUGUUUCUAAAAGAAAACCUUGUCUUGAUGUCCUACCCAUCUAGGAUCAUUCGAACAAUGACCGCGAAGUCCCCCAAGAUUCAACCAAGCGUCGGAAAGAGGAAAACGGAACAACUGGUUCCUCCAAACAUAGUAAGAGUGAAAGUCCUUCCGACUCUCCCCCUCGUUCAAAUGAGAAGGAGAAAGAGAAGAACAAGUCAAAAUCUUCAAGCAAGGAGAAAGGUGAUUCCAUCAAAGUGGAAAAGAUGGAGAAAAGCUCUUCCGGGAGCAAAAAGGAGUCCAGGCACGAUAAGGAAAAAACAGAGAAGAAAGAAAAACGGGAUAGUACUGGGAACAAAGAAGAAAAGAAACAAUAUCCUUUUGCUGCACUAUUGUUCGAAUUGGUUGAAAUUGUUUUCUAAGCAUUUCUUUUUUUAAAAAAACAUGAUUUCCUUAAUAUUAGAUCCACCCAUAAAUCUUCAGACAAGCACAGAUAAUGAGCACUGUUCUGACCAAGGUGAGCAUAAUUGUUUUGGGACUUCUCUUUUUUUUUUAAUUACAUUUAUAUGCCACCCUUCUCCGAAGACUCAGGGCGGCUUACAAUUUUUGGGACACAACGCAAUGCACUUAGCAGUAUCAUUCAUUGGAGAGGAAAGCAAGUAGUUGCACCUCAUUCCUGUUGAGAAUGGCUUUGAAGGAAUUGGGUGUUUCAUGAAGGCAUGCGCCCUGAGAUGAUUGUAUAAACGGCCUUGUAUUUAAAUCAGAAGGUAAAUUUAGGGUUGCAAUAUUUUUGAUAGUCCAUUCCCAUAAUUAUAUCCUGUCCUGUCAUCCUAAUGGCCAAGGUUUGGAAACUCCUCUAGAUGAACCCUAAAUUCACUUCAUGUCAGAUGUGAAGAAUCAGAACCAUAUGUUAAACCUACACACAAGAAUCUAAUCAACUAACAGUCAUCACUAAAUUGGGGCUAAAUAGGAGUCAACAGAAUGCAAGGGGGAGCUGAACUUAGUGCAUUUGUGGACACGUAACGAUUCUAGGCUAAGUCCUCUCUUGACUCCACUCCCAGGCUCUGUCCCUUCUUCUCCUACACUUCAGUUGCAUAUUAGUAAAGGUAAAGGUUCCCCUCGCACAUAUGUGCUAGUCGUUUCCGGCUCUAGGGGGUGGUGCUCAUCUCCGUUACAAAGCCGAAGAGCCAGCGCUGUCCGAAGACGUCUCCGUGGUCAUGUGGCCAGCAUGACUAAACGCCGAAGGCGCACGGAACGUUGUUCCCUUCCCACCAAAGUGGUCCCUAUUUUACUACUUGCAUUUUUUACGUGCUUUUGAACUGCUAAGUUGGCAGAAGCUGGGAUAAGUAACGGGAGCUCACUCCAUUCCGCGGCACUAGGGAUUCGAACUGCUGAACUGCCGACCUUUCUGAUCGACAAGCUCAGCAUCUUAGCCACUGAGCCACCGCGUCCCAAUAGUUGCAUAUUAGCUCUACUUUAUUGAGUGAAUUGGAUCAGUGGCGGAUCAUCCUUGCUACUUAAGCUUGUUUCAGUUUCUGCUUCUUUCUUGAAACCUACCUUAGUCAUUGUACUUCUCUCUCUCUCUCUUUUAGGUGAGGUUCAGACAAGAAGAUGGUGAGCUGUGACCAGACAUAAAUUUUGAUUGCACAGAAGAUUGUGAACGAAGCGGACCUGUCUCCAUCUCCUUAACUUAUUCACCUCUCUGCUUUAUUUCUCUCCCAUUGCUGAAGAUGUUGAUGGUUGAGUUGUACAUUACUGUAAUUUUAAGUCGUCGCUUAAGUUUCUUAAAACAUUUAUUUUCAGUACUGUCUGGAAGUGUUACCUGUUCCGUAUUUUUUAGCACAAUGUGCUGCCAACAGUUGCCAUCGUGCAAAUGAGGGUUUUUCCCCACAUGUACAGAGUUCUUACUUUAGGUUAAUCAAAAAUACUUCCUCCGUUUAGCCAUAUUAUUAUUAUUAUUAUUAUUAUUAUUAUUAUUAUUAUUAUUAGUUUUUAUUUUCAAUUGGAAAUGCGUUAUUUUAGGUGUUUGAAAAAAAAAGAAGACAAACCCAACAACCAAUAAAAAGAGUUAUUGAACAUUUGGAUUUUUACCUCAUUUAAAGAAAAAUCCAGUUUUUAUUUAUUGUUUUUAAUAUUGAUAACUAAAACCAUGGGGGGAGGGGCACUUUUCAAGCAAUGCUGAGGAAAGUAUUUGUAUAUUAUGUGCACAACAGUGAAGUUGUUUAAAAAGAGAGAGAGAGAAGAAAGGAAACAGAGGAAUACCCCAUGCUCUGUUAUUCCGCAUGAUGCUCCUUAACGUUUGUCAUAAUGUUUUUAAAGAAAUGGGGAAAACUGCUUUCUUCCGAACAUGAAUUCAGACCAAUUAGGUUUCAAUAUUACAGCUACAGGAACUUUGUAUCGGUGGGACUUUUAGUCCAAAAAAAAAAUAAUAAAAAAUGAAAACAAAAAUGAAAAAAAAAAAAAAAAAAGUUUCACAAUGACCUUUUUAAAAAAAAACAAACAGACAAAACAAUUUUUUUAUCUGAAAUUCUACCAGUGUAAUCUUUUUUCUAAAUAAAAAAUAGUUUUCU